CCCAGACUCCUACGGGAGGCAGUAGUGGGGAAUAUUGCACAAUGGGGGAAACCCUGAUGCAGCGACGCCGCGUGAGUGAAGAAGUAAUUCGUUAUGUAAAGCUCUAUCAGCAGGGAAGAAAAUGACGGUACCUGAGUAAGAAGCCCCGGCUAACUACGUGCCAGCAGCCGCGGUAAUACGUAGGGGGCAAGCGUUAUCCGGAUUUACUGGGUGUAAGGGGAGCGUAGACGGCAGUGCAAGUCUGGAGUGAAAGGCGGGGGCGCAACCCCCGGACUGCUCUGGAAACUGCGGAGCUGGAGUACGGGAGGGGCAGGCGGAAUUCCUGGUGUAGCGGUGAAAUGCGUAGAUAUCAGGAGGAACACCGGCGGCGAAGGCGGCCUGCUGGACCGCGACUGACGUUGAGGCUCGAGAGCGUGGGGAGCAAACAGGAUUAGAUACCCGGGUACAA
rnacentral:rRNA from 1 species